rnacentral:lncRNA from 1 species
CUCACUGUCCAGAAAUGGCUCCAGGCUGAGUUGCACCCUCAAAGCUUUCCUCUGUUUCACCUCUGUUCAGACCCAAUGCAGGCCCCUUGCAGCCCAGAGGAAUAAAGAGAUGCCUAGAAAGAGGCCGUGGCCACUUGUUCUCUUUUGUUUUCUUCACUGCGGAGGACUGAGCAAGCCCACUAUCUGAGCAAUGUGGAAAUUCCAGCCCUCACAGGGCUUCACACCUUCAAGGGGAAGAACAUUGCGCCAUGAAACUUCCUUGCUCUAGGCCUGCCAGGAAGUUCAGUGAUGGAGCUGAGGAAAAGUGCGGCAGGCUGGCAGCAGGCCUUGUGACGACACAGCGGGGAAACCACAGGAUUCUGCAUUCUUCUGACCACAAGAGGAAGAGAUGGGAUCUUACUAUGUUGCCCAGGAUAUUCUCAAACUCUUGGCUUCAAGUGAUACUCCUGCCUUGGCCUCCCAGAUUGCUGGGAUUACAGAGUUGAAAGAUCACCUGGACCACUCCAUUCAGUUUACAGAAGACGACACUGAGGUCUCGAGUGAGGGAUUAAGUACCCAAGAUGUCACAGCAGAUAAUGGCAGAGUCAUGAUUUCUAACAAACAAACAGAAGAAGCAAGUCCCCUGCCUGUCGUCAGCCGGAGCCCCUCUGCUACGCCUGCUCCCCUGUUUCCCAUGGACUGCCUCAUCUUUUGCCUCUAGUUUGAGCCUGAAAGUUACACCUCCAAUGAAUGAAACUCACAGGAUCAUUGGCAUCCAGUCUUCCUCCUCCACACCCACUCUCGGCCACCUGCCCUUCUCAUCCACAGGUGGGAGCAAAGCUUGGUCAACCUGAUAGGCCUCUUCCAGGCAGGGACAGGAGAAGGGACGGCACAGCAGCUCUGAGUCAGGACUCCUUUCGGUAAGGCGUGGCCGCCAGGAAGGCCUGAGAGAAGGAAACCAGCCCAGGUGCGCUCUGUUUACCUUCUCGGCUCACAAACAUGACCAGACCCUCCUUGGCUGGCUGGAUGAAGUCCCAGCCACUUAGUCCAGCCCUCGAGCCUCUCCCAUUCCAGCCACAGUCUGCCUGGCCAGUUCCAUCCCCCUACGGCUUUCCUGGUGUACCACACCAUCCUCGGAUUGCAGCUCGCCCUCUUGGGCCUUUCUGGCCUAGCAGGUGCUGUUCCUUCAGCUCCAAUGCCCUUCCCUGCCUCUCCACCCGGCAAGCUCCUUCUCUUUGUAUCUUCUGCACUAACACUUCCCUCCUCCCUCCCCUUCCCCUCUUUUUCCUUUGUGCCCCGGUGGCACUUCUGAGACAAUGUUACAAGCAUAAUAAAAUAACAAAAUCAUG